CUUUACUGUAGCCUGGUAUUGGGUUCGGGCUUUGACUGCGCAGGAUAGGUGGGAGACUAUGAAGCAAUCCUUGUGGGGGUUGCUGAGUCAACGGUGAGAUACCACUCUAGCGAGGCUAGAAUUCUAACUAAAUGCCGUUAUCCGGCUUUGGAACCGUAUCAGGUGGGCAGUUUGACUGGGGCGGUCGCCUCCUAAAAGGUAACGGAGGCGCGCAAAGGUUCUCUCAGGCUGGUUGGAAAUCAGCCGUAGAGUGUAAAGGCAGAAGAGAGCUUGACUGCAAGAGCUACAACUCGAGCAGGGUGGAAACACGGCCUUAGUGAUCCGACGGCGCUGAGUGGAAGGGCCGUCGCUCAACGGAUAAAAGUUA
rnacentral:rRNA from 1 species